GGGCGUAAAGCGUGCGCAGGCGGUUCUAUAAGACAGAUGUGAAAUCCCCGGGCUUAACCUGGGAACUGCGUUUGUGACUGUAGGACUCGAGUGCGGCAGAGGGGGGUGGAAUUCCACGUGUAGCAGUGAAAUGCGUAGAGAUGUGGAGGAACACCGAUGGCGAAGGCAGCCCCCUGGGUCGACACUGACGCUCAUGCACGAAAGCGUGGGUAGCAAACAGGAUUAGAUACCCUGGUAGUCCACGCCCUAAACGAUGCCAACUAGGUGUUGGAGAAGGAGACUUCUUUAGUACCGUAGCUAACGCGUGAAGUUGGCCGCCUGGGGAGUACGGUCGCAAGAUUAAAACUCAAAGGAAUUGACGGGGACCCGCACAAGCGGUGGAUGAUGUGGAUUAAUUCGAUGCAACGCGAAAAACCUUACCUACCCUUGACAUGCCAGGAACCCUGCAGAGAUGUGGGGGUGCUCGAAAGAGAGCCUGGACACAGGUGCUGCAUGGCUGUCGUCAGCUCGUGUCGUGAGAUGUUGGGUUAAGUCCCGCAACGAGCGCAACCCUUGUCAUUAGUUGCCAUCAUUCAGUUGGGCACUCUAAUGAGACUGCCGGUGACAAACCGGAGGAAGGUGGGGAUGACGUCAAGUCCUCAUGGCCCUUAUGGGUAGGGCUUCACACGUCAUACAAUGGUCGGUACAGAGGGUUGCCAAGCCGCGAGGUGGAGCCAAUCCCAGAAAGCCGAUCGUAGUCCGGAUCGGAGUCUGCAACUCGACUCCGUGAAGUCGGAAUCGCUAGUAAUCGUGGA
rnacentral:rRNA from 1 species